CAACAGUUUAACAGUUCGUAGUAGUUUUAAAAAGUGUUACUGUGGCAACAUAAUUAUGAGUGAACGCAAAAAGCUUGCCGAUAUUUCAUCCAUCUCCCUCGUAAAUUCUGUAGGCCGAUUGACAACAAAAGGCGAUAUUUUGAGCAUUGUUGUUUUAAAUGUUUCUCUAUAAAGUGUCGUGAACGGACAGCCUAUAUUUGUGAUUUACAGAGUGGAGGAAAAAAUAUGAAGAGGCGAAAUGCCGAAACUGGCAAGAUGCGGCGCCCAGUAAAGCGCACCAAAAUCACCGAAGGAAUGUACGGAAACUCCAUGCUGUACCUGAAGUUCGUGAUGCUGUGGGCGACAGUAGUGCUUGCAGACUAUAUGCUGGAGUUCCGGUUUGAGUUCCUCUGGCCUUUCUGGAUGAUGCUCAGAUCCGUCUAUGACUCCUUUAAAUAUCAGGGACUUGCGUUUUCAGUAUUUUUCAUCUGCAUAGCGCUCACGUCCGACAUGAUAUGUUUCUUCUUUAUUCCGCUACAGUACAUAUUCUUCGCAGCCAGUACCUAUGUAUGGGUGCAAUAUGUCUGGUAUACAUUUGCAGACAAAGGCGUAUGCCUGCCCACAGUAGCGAUAUGCUGCGUGCUGGUGUACGUGGAGGGCGCGCUGCGGGCGCGCACGGGCGGAGGCCUGGAGCUCUGCCGGCCGCUGGCGGCGCACUGUGUGGGGUACCCGGUGGUGACGCUCGGGUUCGGCGUGAAGUCGUACGUGGGCCACCGGCUGCGCCUGCGCCGCCAGCGGCAGGUCCGCGCCGAGAACCAGUUCUACUUCCAGCUCAUGCGGGACGCGCUGCCGGACACGGAGCUCGAGCAGAGUCAAACAAAAGAAGAGUCGCGCCCCGCCACGAGCCCCACCAGUAACGGGGAGUGCGCCCACGCAGGCGACACGCGGCAUAUGAACGGCUCCGUGCGCCGCCGCUGCAAGGACGCCAACGGGAUACUGCACGACCUUACGCAGGCUAAGUUAGAGAAGCUGGAGAAGCAGCUGUCGCGGGACAAGCCGGCGCACGCGCACAGCAACGGGGCGCCGCCCGGCGCCGCGCCGCCUGCCGACGACGACAGGCACGACCACAGUAAAGGUAGUGCAAAGUCAUCGAAAUGUGAAAAGAAAGAGGCUAGUACAUUAAAAGAAGAAAAGAGAAAGAAUAAAAACAAAGAUAAAGAUAAGGAUAAUCAUAGCGAUAGUCAUAAGGGUACAGAGCAAACAAAAGAACAAAUAGUUAAAGAAGUAGAAAGUACAAAAGAGAAUCAUAUAAGAAAUCACAAGGACUGCAACAGUGUCAAGGAGAAGGAGAAGGAACGGGAAAAGGAGAGAGAAAAGGAGAGGGAGAGAGAGAGAGAAGCUAAAGAGAGGGAGAAGGAGAAGGAACGCGAACGAGAGAAGGAAAGGGAACGCGAGAGGGAAAGGGAAAGGGAGUUGAAGUGCGCGCGCGAGGUGUCGGAGGAGCUGCGGCGCGUGCGCGCGGAGCUGGCGGCGGCGCUGCGCGCGGAGGGCGAGGCGCGCCGCGCGCUGGCCGCCGCCGCCGCCGCCGAGCGCCAGCGCCGCGCCGACCACCACCACCUCAAGCAGGCGCACGCCACGCUGCAGCACAAAGUGUCGGUGUGGCGCACGCAGGAGCGCGCAGCACUGGAGCGGCGGCUGGGCGAGGAGCGGCGCGCGCGCACCACGGCCGAGACCAUGCUGCAGCGGGCGCGGGCCGCCACCAGGACGCCCACGGGCGAGUGUGAGAACGAGUGGUGUCGCAACCGGCGGACGUCCAUGGACGGCGAGACGGCGGCGCUGCGGCGAGACCUGCGCCGCGCCACCGACAGGAACGACCAGCUCACCAGAGACCUCAGUCAGGCCAACGAACAGCUGCGAGCACUAGAAGCGCGGCGCGAGGAGUGCAAUAAGAGCAGCGACAGCUCCCUCGGCGGGGGCGGCGGCUUGGGCUCCGGGGGCGGAGGCCUGGGCGCGUGGAGCGCGCUGGCCGAGCGCGCGGCGCACCUGGAGCGCUCGCUGUCGGCCGAGACGCGCGUCAAGCUGGACCUGCUGUCCGCGCUCGGGGACGCCAAGCGCCAGCUGCAUAUACAAGAGGGUUUAAUAUCAAAACAAGAGAAAGAAAUAGAAGAACUGAAAGCUCAAAUGUUGGCGGUAAUGCCUACGGAAUACGUGACACCUGUCAGCGGGUCUAUGUCGAAACUCAGAUUGGAGAGUUCACCACUGGACCCAAACGCGUCGGUCUACACGCCCAAACAGCUGUGCUCCGACGCCUAGGUACCUGCCUCGAUUCGUCCUUACAGGCCAUCCACGUUCAGUCAGACCGUCUUAAACUGGAAAUUUCUACAAAAUUCCACAGCUCGGCCAGGGUAAGUUGAUCCGCGUUUAGGGCUACUUACACUGGGCUAUGUUUCUGGAAGUUUCUAGAACUUUCCAGCACGAGUUGGUCCGGCUUAAUGGUGCGGAGGCCGUUAACGUAUUACACUACACUUUAUGUUUAUGUAACGGUCACCACAUAGUAUAUUUUAAUGGGGUAUAAUGGGCCCGGUACAUACCGCGUUAACCUAAUUGCGUUUUCACACUACAUUCGAGUCCGAGAUAGAUAGAUAAAAUACUUUAUUGAGCACAAUGGACACAAAAUACAACAGAUACAGAAAAGCACAACAGGCGGCCUUAUUGCUCAUGCAGCAAUUUCUUCCACGCAACCUUAAAGGGUUAAGGGCCUUUUCCUUAGGGUUUUCGGAGAAUGACCGAUAGUAGAAAAAUACUUAUGGCCGUUUUCGAUAAUCUAUCCAUUCAAUGAUUUCGCUUACUAAAGUAACUUUUGACACUUAUUUUGAUGCACACGUCAAAAAUGUUUUGUAAGCAAAAACCAUGGUUUGAUAGAUUAUUAAAAACGGCAGUCAGAGAUAUCGGAUGACGGAUUUUGGUAAUGCCAUAGAAUAAUGAAUAAUACUACGUUAUAGAACGGUAACUCUUCGCUCCGCACCAUUCCGCAGCGGGCGCCGACCUUACCUCUGGGUUCUUUCGUCUUAAACGGCCGUUAGCCGGUAAGGAGUAUGAGAGAGAGAGAGAGAGAGAGAGCACGAACUGUCUGUGUCGCCCGCACUUAUGCGUUAGGCGGUAUACGACAGGAAUAGUGUAGUAGUGCAUAAUAAUAAGCUACCGUACAAAUAGCUCUACAGCCAUUUUGGAUCCUUCGUUUGACGGAUUCGGUUCGCUAGUGUGAAAACGCCCUAAGGGUCUCUUUAUUUCAGGGUAGUGAUAUGCUACGGUUUUUCUAAGUUUUUUUUUCUUGGUUUAAACUACAAUCAGUCCUCUAGACUAAGCAGUUUCGUUGAGUGGAUAAGUGACGUGUCAGGAGCUACAACCAGUGUCACAGCUUCCCACUUUAUACAACAUGGCUUCUCUUCAGUCGUUUCACAUUUACGAGGUCUAUAAGCUCUGAUGCGAGGGGAUUCGGAUGAUCGGGUAGUCGCUCUAGAUGUUUCUUUUGGUAAUUCUUGAUCUCUUCAGCGACGGUGGGAAUGUUAAGGUAUUCAUAUUAUAAGGUAUUUUUUGAAUCUAUAUAAUUAUCUAUCAUCAUCAGCCGUACGACGCCCACUGCUGGGCAUAGGCCUCCCCCAAGGAUCUCCACGACGAUCGGUCCUGCACUGCCCGCAUCCAGCGGCUUCCCAAGGUCCGCUUACCUAACCUGAAGAUUUGACAGGUCCAGUUUUUUAUAGAAACGACUGCCUGUCUGUCUUUCCAACCCGAAGAGAAACCAGCCCAAUACAGGUUAGGUCACAUCCCUCCGAAACGCAGAAAGUGGGUUUCUGUGGGGUCAGUUGUGCACGUGAUCUAAACAUUAAUUCGAAAAUAACUUUGAAAAUCAUUGUUUAGGCCCGUGCUGGGUUUGUUAUUGCAAAAUGACGCGACCUUGGCUUCAUCAUCAUCUCCCUAGCAUUAUCCCGUUUUUUCAGAGUCCGCUUACCUAACCUGAAGUUUGACAGGUCCGUAUUUUUAAAGAAGCGACUUCCUGUCUGACCUUCCAACCGCGAAGAGACCAGCCCAAUAUAGGUUAGGUCACAUACCUAGAUGUUUCCCUUCACAGCUGAGCACGUGAUAAUCAUUUAUGAUUCAAACAUGAAUUGGAAAAAAUCGACAAUCAUUGGUUUAGGCCUGUGCUGGAUUCGAACCUACCAACUGGGUUACCACGGCUCACGCGACCUUGACUCCAUUACAACUAAUAUUUAUUAUGUAGUAUAGACAAUUUGUUGACGUCAUUUUACCGCUGUUAGAUGACUCCGUUCUCUUAGGAAACCGAAGCUUUGCUACCCUGAAAUAGAGUCGAAAAUAUAAUGUAGUGUGAUACGUCUUUUAAGGCCUUAAUUGGUUAAAACAUAGUACUAUGACGCGAUAUCAUUAUGGCGUUCGGAUACUGUGGGUUCACCCCAGCAGUAAAGGCAACCAGGCUAUAUCCCGUCAUUAUGACGUAUGUACAAUCAUGAGUAAUAUUAUGGUAUAGUCCGUUCAAGAAUGAUCUUCAUAAAAGGUAAACAAAUAUGGCUGCCGAUAUUUUUUAUCUGUGUCAAACUGCAUACUAGUGAAGUGCUGAAUUGAUUUUAGCUCAAGUUAUUUUAUCAAAAUGAACUGACUCUCUUGGGCUGUUUGAAUAUUUUGUAUGAUAAUAUUAAAAUAUACAUUGUAUGUUUCUUUAUGGUUACACUAACUCACUUUGAAAGUCAUUUUUUCUGCGCAUUUCGGCUUAUUAAGUACAGUACACUCACUUAAGUUAUUCACGGAACUGACUCGUUUUCCUGACCUGAAUGAAAUGUCUCAUCACUAAUAGUCAAAUUGACAGCUAGCCACAGAUUAACAAGAAUUUAUGAUGUCAACUUUUUUGUGUGAGGUUUUGUUUGAUUUUUGUUUUUACAUGAAAAAAUGUGUUUUUAAUCAUUAUUUUACGUUAAUUUCACAUUGAGCUAAGAAAUCAUACAUCUAUUGAGUGCUACGGAUGUUAUUAGGAAAAUACUUUGCGUAGUUUAGGUGAAAUUCGAACAUUCUUUGUAGUAACAGGUUUGUUUACCUUUUAUGAAGAUCAUUUUUGAACGGACUAUAUAAGAAAACCAGGUAUGCUCAAUCCUAUAACAAGCCGCCAUUGCUAGCCCAUUGAUGACGUAAGCGUUACCACUGUGUUACCGUUAAGAACGUAAAUUUUAUUAUUGAAAAUUAAGCGAAUUACUGACUAAUAUAUUUAAUUACUAUUAUUGGUGCUAAUUCCUGUAAAUACCAUCUAAUUUUAUUUUAAGUUAUAUCUGUCAUUUUCUUAUCCGCCGAAAAGGAAAGGGACGGGUAAUCGACAAGCAUGAAAUUUAUGGAACACACGUCAAUUUUAAGCACAAAUCUAAACAAACCGUGUAAAAAUUUUACAUACGUCAAUAACCCGACACAGUUAAGUAGACAGCACGUCAAACGGAUUGCAUACCAGCGACGUACCUUUUGAUUCGCCCGGGUUAUUCAUUCAUUUACUCAUUCUUCCUAAAAUUAAGAGCUGUGAAUCAUCCGUCCCUUUCCUUUUCGGAGGAUAUGAAAAUGACGGAUAUAACUUAAAAUAAAAUUAGGCGGUGUCUGCUGGAAUCGGGGCCAUAAUCUACCUAUAUUAAUUUAAGUUUCUUAAGGAAGUAAAAGCAAUUGGGUUGUGUACUAGGUAGGUACUAGAUAAAUUAUGAAAUUCUG
rnacentral:misc_RNA from 1 species